AAAUGAUUUUCUACAUCAAUUAAAAUGAUCAUGUGACAGCCAGGGCGCAGAGGUCAGGGAGCUGGGGUGCAGAGGUCGGGCAGUUAGGUGCAGAGGUCGGACAGCCGGGGUGCAGAGGUCAGGGAGCCAGGGUGCAGAGGUCGGGCAGUUAGGCGCAGAGGUCAGGGAGCCGGGGUGCAGAGGUCGGGGAGCCGGGGUGCAGAGGUCAGGGAGCUGGGGUGCAGAGGUCGGGCAGUUAGGCGCAGAGGUCAGGGAGCCGGGGUGCAGAGGUCGGGCAGCCGUGGUGCAGAGGUCAGGGAGCCGGGGUGCAGAGGUCGGGCAGCCGUGGUGCAGAGGUCGGGCAGUUAGGCGCAGAGGUCGGGC
rnacentral:lncRNA from 1 species